rnacentral:tRNA from 1 species
AUCUAAGUAGCUUAUAUAGAGUAUAGUAUUGAAGAUACUAGGGAAACAUUAAUGUUUUUAGAUA